AACGAACGCUGGCGGCAUGCCUAACACAUGCAAGUCGAACGAGACCUUCGGGUCUAGUGGCGCACGGGUGCGUCACGCGUGGGAACCUGCCCUUAGGUUCGGAAUAACUCCCCGAAGGGGGUGCUAAUACCGGAUAAUGUCUUCGGACCAAAGAUUUAUCGCCUUUGGAUGGGCCCGCGUUGGAUUAGCUAGUUGGUAGGGUAAAAGCCUACCAAGGCGACGAUCCAUAGCUGGUCUGAGAGGAUGAGCAGCCACACUGGGACUGAGACACGGCCCAGACUCCUACGGGAGGCAGCAGUGGGGAAUAUUGGACAACGGGCGAAAGCCUGAUCCAGCAAGGCCGCGUGAGUGAUGAAGGCCUUAGGGUUGUAAAGCUCUUUUACCCGGGAUGAUAAUGACAGUACCGGGAGAAUAAGCUCCGGCUAACUCCGUG
rnacentral:rRNA from 1 species